rnacentral:ncRNA from 1 species
AUUAUGGCCGAUUAAAAGGGAAGCCGGUGAAAAUCCGGAGCAGACCCGCUACUGUAAGUCCUAUGCAACGUUGCGGCACACAAAGCCAUUGACACUGCCACUAUGAAUCAUGGUGUUGAGAAGGCCAACCGCAACGGGGACAAGCCAGGAGACCUGCCAUGCCAAUA